rnacentral:rRNA from 1 species
GACGAACGCUGGCGGCGUGCUUAACACAUGCAAGUCGAACGAUGAAGGAAGAAGCUUGCUUCUUCUGGAUUAGUGGCGAACGGGUGAGUAACACGUGAGCAAUCUGCCCUUGACUCUGGGAUAAGCGUUGGAAACGACGUCUAAUACCGGAUACGACCCUCGGAGGCAUCUCCUGGGGGUGGAAAGAAUUUUGGUCAAGG